UCUCCGUAGGUGAACCUGCGGAGGGAUCAUUACCGAGUGAGGGUCCUCGUGGCCCGACCUCCAACCCCCUGUCUUCCGACUCUGUUGCCUCGGGGGCGACCCGGCCUUCGGGCGUCGGGGCCCCCGGUGGUCCACACCUCAACUCUUGCAUCUGUGCGUCUGAGUAACAUAUUGAAUCAAUCAAAACUCUCAACAGCGGAUCUCGUGGUUCUGGCAUCGAUGAAGAACGCAGC
rnacentral:misc_RNA from 1 species